CUCUGCAACUCUCACAUGGUCGCCCACUGGAAAGGUGCUAUAUAAAUGGUCGCCCACUUAAGCUAAGCAGGGCUGCGCCCGGUCAGUAUCUGGAUGGGAGACCACAUGGGAAAGCUAGGUUGUUGCCGGAA
rnacentral:rRNA from 1 species